rnacentral:rRNA from 1 species
CCUACGGGUGGCAGCAGUGGGGAAUAUUGGGCAAUGGGCGCAAGCCUGACCCAGCAACGCCGCGUGAAGGAAGAAGGCUUUCGGGUUGUAAACUUCUUUUCUCAGGGACGCAGCAAGUGACGGUACCUGACGAAUAAGCCACGCCUAACUACGUGCCAGCAGCCGCGGGAAUACGUAGGUGGCAAGCGUUAUCCGGAUUUACUUGGUGUAAAGGGCGGGUAGGCGGGAAAGCAAGUCAGAUGUGAAAACCAUGGGUUCAACCUGUGGCCUGCAUUUGAAACUGUUUGUCUUGAGUACUGGAGAGGCAGACGGAAUGCCUGGUGUAGCGGUGAAAUGCGUAGAUAUUAGGAGGAACACCAGUGGCGAAGGCAGUCUGCUGGACAGCAACUGACGCUGAGGCGCGAAAGCGUGGGUAGCAAACAGGAUUAGAUACCCCGGUAGUC